UGUGGAGGGCGUUUCCCAUCUGUGGUGAU
rnacentral:piRNA from 1 species